GACGAACGCUGGCGGCGUGCCUAAUACAUGCAAGUAGAACGCUGAAGGAAGGAGCUUGCUCUUUCUGGAUGAGUUGCGAACGGGUGAGUAACGCGUAGGUAACCUGCCUGGUAGCGGGGGAUAACUAUUGGAAACGAUAGCUAAUACCGCAUAAAAUUGAUUAUUGCAUGAUAGUCAAUUAAAAGGUGCAACUGCACCACUACCAGAUGGACCUGCGUUGUAUUAGCUAGUUGGUGGGGUAACGGCUCACCAAGGCGACGAUACAUAGCCGACCUGAGAGGGUGAUCGGCCACACUGGGACUGACACACGGCCCAGACUCCUACGGGAGGCAGCAGUAGGGAAUCUUCGGCAAUGGACGGAAGUCUGACCGAGCAACGCCGCGUGAGUGAAGAAGGUUUUCGGAUCGUAAAGCUCUGUUGUAAGAGAAGAACGAGUGUGAGAGUGGAAAGUUCACACUGUGACGGUAUCUUACCAGAAAGGGACGGCUAACUACGUG
rnacentral:rRNA from 1 species